rnacentral:tRNA from 1 species
GCAGUGGUGGUUCAGUGGUAGAAUUCUUGCCUUCCAUGCAGGAGACCGGGGUUCAAUUCCUGGCCAAUACG